AAAUGAGGGGGGCAUUAGCUACAUAGCGUAUAUUAAAGUUGUUGCAGUUAAAAAGCUCGUAGUUGAACCUUGGGUCUGGCUGGCCGGUCCGCCUCACCGCGAGUACUGGUCCGGCUGGACCUUUCCUUCUGGGGAACCUCAUGGCCUUCACUGGCUGUGGGGGGAACCAGGACUUUUACUGUGAAAAAAUUAGAGUGUUUAAAGCAGGCC
rnacentral:rRNA from 1 species